CAUCCACGUCAUCCUUCGCUUCCU
rnacentral:siRNA from 1 species